rnacentral:rRNA from 1 species
GAUGAACGCUGGCGGCGUGCCUAAUACAUGCCAGUCGAGCGAACGGACGAGAAGCUUGCUUUUCUGAUGUUAGCGGCGGACGGGUGAGUAACACGUGGAUAACCUACCUAUAAGACUGGGAUAACUUCGGGAAACCGGAGCUAAUACCGGAUAAUAUUUUGAACCGCAUGGUUCAAAAGUGAAAGACGGUCUUGCUGUCACUUAUAGAUGGAUCCGCGCUGCAUUAGCUAGUUGGUAAGGUAACGGCUUACCAAGGCAACGAUGCAUAACCGACCUGAGAGGGUGAUCGGCCACACUGGAACUGAGACACGGUCCAGACUCCUACGGGAGGCAGCAGUAGGGAAUCUUCCGCAAUGGGCGAAAGCCUGACGGAGCAACGCCGCGUGAGUGAUGAAGGUCUUCGGAUCGUAAAACUCUGUUAUUAGGGAAGAACAUAUGUGUAAGUAACUGUGCACAUCUUGACGGUACCUAAUCAGAAAGCCACGGCUAACUACGUG